ensembl:lncRNA
UUGCACGUCUACAUAAAGUUGUAAAAGAGUGCCUUUUUGGACUACCCCACGACGUAAGGAUUAAAGUUUUUAUUCCCUUUGAGUGAGGCCAAUGAGUUCUGAUGGCAUUGUAUCGGCUGUGGUUGGACAUCAUUACAUGUUAAGGCAUGUCGAAGAAUCCUCCUGUCCGAAAUAAUUGUCAGUUUAAAAGCAAAGAACAAGUUGAGCUUUAUUAAGACUCGAGGGGAGUAACAGUCAGAACUCAGCCUGCUUCGUGCUGGAGGAGAGAGAAGGAGAAAGAGGUCUGCCGCAGCGGAGCCGAGCGCAGCGGAGCCGAGUGGGAGCGGAGCUGAGCCGACAGCGCGCUGGGUCACGUGGUUAAGCUCGCGUCUCUCUCAAGCAUCAAAGACACCCAAACACACACAGACAUCCCAUAAGACAGCCAGAGUCGAGUGGUGUAGCUUGUUUAAGCUACAAAUAAGUAACAUGUUUAUACAAGUUAAAUGUGGAGAGUAGAUUUCCUUAGCUCAUCUUAAAGGGACUCUGUCAAGCAAUGAAAGGGGAAGUGUGGUGGUUUUGGAGUAAAAGUUUAAGUUCAUGUUAUUAGCUGUUUAUGCUAAGUAACUGUAAUUAAGGUACGUUUAAGUUGAUUAUAAGGGUUUUUUGCUUAUUUUUAAGACUGCAUUAGAUAUUUAAAGGUCACAUUAUAGUAUUUUGUUUGACAUUGAAGGUUAUUUUCUGUUUAACUACAAGUGAAGAACAAUUUAUUAUUUUGGUUUAAGUGAUGGUGACAUAUAUUUAAGCUGACUCUUUAAAGUAAAGCAAUUCAAGUUCCUAGGUGCUUCAUAAGGUGACUAUUCACGUAUUUAAGUUGACCUAGGUGACUUGAGUGUAGUAUAACACCUUUGACUGUCUGUGACAUGGAGCAAGAAGGCUGUGACGCUGAAGCUGUGGAGCAGCAAGAAGCUUUUGAAGAGCAAGAAAGUUUGCAAGAACCAUGCACAAGUAAAGCUACUAAAGAAGGAAGUUUGAGGAAAAGUCAAAGAGUUAAGAAGUUCACUGAAAGGGGCCAAG